GUCAAAAUAAGUGUUUUUAUACUAGUGGUAAUCUCUGGAGUUUGAUUCCAUCUCUUUGGGAAUUGGAUCUCUAUUUGCCUGGAACUCUUUUCGGCUAUGCACUUGCACGAACCCUGGCAAAGAUUGUACCGCUGCACAUUCCACUUCCCGACCAGCUAUAUGAACGUCAUUCAGGAGAUAGAAGCAACCAAUGCUCCCUAAAAGCAAGGUAAUAUCUUGUACGGUGUUCGCACAGGAACCCCUGAACGGAG